ACAGCUACAUUGCACAGCUGAUCAAAUGAUGACAAGCUGGUUCAGGUAGGUUUAAAUACACCUGACAUUAUGGUUGUGGCUGCGUUUUUAUGUCGUAUCAAACAAUUUGGAACAGGGUGAUGACUAGUGGGGAUGUCGCUACCAGCAGUAAGUUGAACUGUAGUAAUUUCCUGAAGACUAGCCCAGUCAUCAGCAGGCGGAAGUCUGAUGAGAUGGAGGCAGUUGCUUCUGAUCAUCAUACAGUUCAGCGACCAGCAUCAGCACCAGUUGGCCAUGGCCAUGGUCGAGGCCGAUUAUAAUUCUGGGCUUUGUCCUCUGCUCCAAAUACUUUCUCAGUUUUAUUCCCUUACAGCUCUUCUCCAACAAUGCUUGUACUGUUAUCAAGACUAAUGAAGAAAUUUCAGCACUUGAAAAGAAAUGGUAGAUGAGGAGCUUAUGUCAUAGACUCUGCAUCCUGCCCACGUCCUGGAGACAACUAUAUCUUCAACAGCAUCAUUGCAUCAAUCAUCGAAGUGUAUGGAAGCACUCAACUCAGGUUAAUGUGAGCUCAGGACCCUGUUUGAUUCCACGAGACAUCUGUAUCUUCAACAGCAGCACUGCAUCCAUCAUUGCACAAUAUUUGCCUAUAAGGACUUAUUUUUUCAGUUAACGAUGUACAAAAAAUUGCAUCAAAAUAUGUGUAAUAAAAUGACAUUUACGAGUU